AGAGUCACUCCUACGGGAGGCAGCAGUGGGGAAUAUUGCGCAAUGGGCGAAAGCCUGACGCAGCAACGCCGCGUGAGUGAUGAAGGCCUUCGGGUCGUAAAGCUCUGUCGGAGGGAACGAAUGCUUUUGAGGUUAACAGCCUCAGAAAGUGACGGUACCCUCAAAGGAAGCACCGGCUAACUCUGUGCCAGCAGCCGCGGUAAUACAGAGGGUGCAAGCGUUGUUCGGAAUUACUGGGCGUAAAGGGCGCGUAGGCGGCCUGUUAAGUCGAACGUGAAAUCCCCGGGCUCAACCCGGGAACUGCGUCCGAUACUGGCAGGCUUGAAUCCGGGAGAGGGAUGCGGAAUUCCAGGUGUAGCGGUGAAAUGCGUAGAUAUCUGGAGGAACACCGGUGGCGAAAGCGGCUUCCUGGUCCAGCACCGACGUUCAGGCACGAAAGCGUGGGGAGCAAACAGGAUUAGAUACCCCGGUAGUCCACGCUGUAAACGAUGAGCACUAGGUGUGGGGGGGUUCAGUCCCUUCCGUGCCGCAGCUAACGCAUUAAGUGCUCCGCCUGGGGAGUACGGCCGCAAGGUUGAAACUUAAAGGAAUUGACG
rnacentral:rRNA from 1 species